rnacentral:tRNA from 1 species
GCCGGGAUGGCGGAACUGGCAGACGCAGCGGACUCAAAAUCCGCCGGGCUUCGGCCCUUGGGGGUUCAAGUCCCCCUCCCGGCACCA